rnacentral:rRNA from 1 species
AUGGAAGCGUCCAACUCGCCACCACUUCCGUCGCCGACCUGCCCCACCCCGGCCACACACCUGCGACACGAGAGAGAUGCCGAGAUCCCAAGCACAAGCAAUCCCAAUUCCCGUCGCCUUUAUAUAAAGAAGAUCCCCUCCGUCUCUCUCUCCUCCACUUGUACUCCACCGCCACCACCCAGGGAACGCCACGCGCAGAGCUCCUCUGAAGCAAACACCAGACACAAGCGGGGACGAAUCCCAGCCGUGCGGUUCGUGGAUCCGAUGGGGCGGCGGUCGAGCGCGUCGCCGGUGGGGUCGGGGGAGCCGCUGCUGCCGGAGGUGCGCAAGUGCGUCAGCGGCGGCGCGACGAUGCAGCGGUCGCUCUCGCGGGCGGACGACGAGCUGCAGUGGUUCCGGUCGUGCCUGCGGUGGGUGUGCAUGGACCACUCGGCCCCGGGCCGCGCCGCGCUGUCCUGGCUGCUCUUCCUGCUCCUCGCCGUCGUCGUCCCGGCCGUCGCGCACUUCGUCAUCGCCUUCCGCCCCUCGCGCCGCCCCUUCGACGCCGUCGUGCAGGUCUCGCUCUCCGCCGCCUCCGGUGCCAGCUUCCUCUGCCUCUCCUCCUCCUUCCGCCGCAUCGGCCUCCGCCGCCUGCUCUACCUCGACAAGCUCCGCACCAACAGCGACCGCGUCCGGCUCAACUACACCGCCCGCCUCGCCUUCUCCUUCCGCCUCCUCGCCUCCCUCGUCGCGCCCUGCUUCGCCGCCGAGGCCGCCUACAAGGCCUGGUGGUACGCCACCUCCGCCGACCGCCUCCCCUUCUUCGCCAACGACCUCCUCAGCGACGUCCUCGCCUGCUCCCUCGAGAUGGCCUCCUGGAUGUACCGCAGCGCCAUCUACCUCCUCACCUGCGUCCUCUUCCGCCUCAUCUGCCACCUCCAGGGCCUCCGCCUCGAGGACUUCGCCGGCUCCCUGCUCGUCGAGGUGGAGGAAGGGAGGAUGGGGGUGGAGCGCGUCCUCAGGGAGCACCUCGACAUCCGCAAGCAGCUCAAGGUCAUCAGCCACCGAUUCCGCAGGUUCAUCGUCGCCGCGCUGCUCAUCGGCACCGCCAGCCAGUUCGCCUCCGUGCUCCUCACCACCCGCCACGACUCCAUCGACGACCUCCUCCACACCGGCGAGCUCGCGCUAUGUUCAGUGGUGCUCAUGUCCGGGCUCAUCAUAAUCCUGAGCAGCGCCGCCAAGAUUACUCACCAGGCGCAGGCCCUCACGGGCCAGACCACCAAGUGGCACGCCUGCUGCACCAUCGAACCGGUCCCGGACGACGAGAUAGAUCCGGGAUCCAACCAGAACUCCAUGCUGGAAGACCCCGAGGACGAGAGCGACUGCGAGUCCAGCGAGGAGACCGGCGACGAGGACAUGCUGGAGAACACCAAGUUCCUCCAGCCUCACACGCACGUGAUCUCCUUCCAGAAGAGGCAGGCACUAGUGACUUACCUGGAGAACAACAAGGCCGGCAUCACCGUGUUCGGGUUCACGCUGGACCGGUCGUACCUCCACACCAUAUUCAUGCUCGAGUGGACGCUCUUCUUGUGGCUGCUGGGGAAAACAGUCGGUUUCUCGUGA